rnacentral:rRNA from 1 species
CAGUAGCCGCGGGAAUACGUAGGUCCCGGGCGUUGUCCGGAUUUAUUGGGCGUAAAGGGAGCGCAGGCGGUUUAGUAAGUCUGAAGUUAAAGGCAUUGGCUCAACCAAUGUAUGCUUUGGGAACUGUUAGACUUGAGUGCAGAAGGGGAGAGUGGAAUUCCAUGUGUAGCGGUGAAAUGCGUAGAUAUAUGGAGGAACACCGGUGGCGAAAGCGGCCCUCUGGUCUGUCACUGACGCUGAGGCUCGAAAGCGUGGGUAGCGAACAGGAUUAGAUACCCCGGUAGUCCCUGUCUCUUAUACC